rnacentral:rRNA from 1 species
GAUGAACGCUGGCGGCGUGCCUAAUACAUGCCAGUCGAGCGAACGGACGAGAAGCUUGCUUCUCUGAUGUUAGCGGCGGACGGGUGAGUAACACGUGGAUAACCUACCUAUAAGACUGGGAUAACUUCGGGAAACCGGAGCUAAUACCGGAUAAUAUUUUGAACCGCAUGGUUCAAAAGUGAAAGACGGUCUUGCUGUCACUUAUAGAUGGAUCCGCGCUGCAUUAGCUAGUUGGUAAGGUAACGGCUUACCAAGGCAACGAUGCAUAGCCGACCUGAGAGGGUGAUCGGCCACACUGGAACUGAGACACGGUCCAGACUCCUACGGGAGGCAGCAGUAGGGAAUCUUCCGCAAUGGGCGAAAGCCUGACGGAGCAACGCCGCGUGAGUGAUGAAGGUCUUCGGAUCGUAAAACUCUGUUAUUAGGGGAGAACAUAUGUGUAAGUAACUGUGCACAUCUUGACGGUACCUAAUCAGAAAGCCACGGCUAACUACGUG